rnacentral:rRNA from 1 species
GUCUAUGGCCAUGCCACCCUGAACACGCCCAAUCCCGUCUGAUCUCGGAAGCUAAGCAGGGUCAAGCCUGGUUAGUACUUAGAUGAGAGACCACCUAGGAAGACCAGGUGCUGAAGGCA